AUGAACCGUGAACUCCCUGAUGUUCAAGCUGGUUUUCGAAAAGGCAGAGGAACCAGAGAUCAAAUUGCCUACAUCCGCUGGAUCAUGGAAAAAGCAAGAGAGUUCCAGAACAACAUCUAUUUCUGCUUUAUUGACUAUGCCAAAGCCUUUGACUGUGUGGGUCACAAUAAACUGUGGAAAAUUCUGAAAGAGAUGGGAAUACCAGACCACCUAACCUGCCUCUUAAGAAAUCUGUAUGCAGGUCAGGAAGCAACAGUUAGAACUGGACAUGGAACAACAGACUGGUUCCAAAUAGGAAAAGGAGUACAUCAAGGCUGUAUAUUGUCACCCUGCUUAUUUAACAUAUAUGCAGAGUACAUCAUGAGAAACGCUGGACUGGAAGAAACACAAGCUGGAAUCAAAAUUGCCAGGAGAAAUAUCAAUAACCUCAGAUAUGCAGAUGACACCACCCUUAUGGCAGAAAGUGAAGAGGAGCUAAAAAGCCUCUUGAUGAAAGUGAAAGAGGAGAGUGAAAAAGUUGGCUUAAAUCUCAACAUUCAGAAAACAAAGAUCAUGGCAUCCAGUCCCAUCACUUCAUGUGAAAUAGAUGGGGAAACAGUGGAAACAGUGUCAGACAUUAUUUUUUGGGGCUCCAAAAUCACUGCAGAUGGUAAUUGCAGCCAUGAAAUUAAAAGAUGCUUCCUCCUUGGAAGAAAAGUUAUGACCAACCUAGGUAGUAUAUUCAAAAGCAGAGACAUUACUUUGCCGACUAAGGUCCGUCUAUUCAAGGCUAUGGUUUUUCCUGUGGUCAUGUAUAGAUGUGAGAGUUGGACUGUGAAGAAGGCUGAGCGCCGAAGAAUUGAUGGUUUUGAACUGUGGUGUUGGAGAAGACUUUUGAGAGUCCCUUGGACUGCAAGGAGACCCAACCAAUCCAUUCUGAAGGAGAUCAGCCCUGGGAUUUCUUUGGAAGGAAUGAUGCUAAAGGUGAAACUCCAGUACUCUGGCCACCUGAUGCGAAGAGUUGACUCAUUGGAAAAGACUCUGAUGCUGGGAGGGAUUGGGGGCAGGAGGAGAAGGGGACGACCGAGGGUGAGAUGGCUGGAUGGCAUCACGGACUCGAUGGACAUAAGUCUGAGUGAACUCUGGGAGUUGGUGAUGGACAGGGAGGCCUGGCGUGCUGCGAUUCAUGGGGUCGCAAAGAGUCGGAGAUGA
rnacentral:lncRNA from 1 species